GCCCCGUUCGUCUAGCGGUCUAGGACCUCGCCCUUUCACGGCGGUAACACGGAUUCAAAUUCCGUACGGGGUC
rnacentral:tRNA from 1 species